ensembl:processed_transcript 1810053B23Rik RIKEN cDNA 1810053B23 gene
GUACUGCAGGCUUCAGCUGACCUGGACUUUCCAGAGUGUCUCUUUUGGUGAGAGACAUUCGGUGUCCCACGUGUUGUGACCUUUUCUUACGGGAACAGCUGGAGGUUGCAAACAUGGUCGAGAAAGAACUCGCAGCUGAGACCCAUCUCAGGAGGUGCCUGUCUCCUCCAGGGCCACUCAACACAUCCAAUACUGUGACACAGGUAGGCUAGCCUCCUUCUCCUCUUUCCACCCUGUCUUUAGGAUCAUCUCCAGACAUCGAAGGGCAUCAUUAUCACGGAUAAGAACACAGAUGCUGGGGCUGGAGAGAUGGCGCAGAGGUUAAGAGCUGGCACUAAUCUUUCAGAGGACUGGAGUUUGGUUCCCAUCCCCAUGUUGGGCAGAUCAUGACGACCUGUGACUACAGCUUCAGAGGGCCUAGAACCUUCUUCUGGAGACCCUGCAUGCUCUGCCUUCAUGUGCUCCUUCCCCUAAGACACAGACGUAAGCACACAAUCAAUUUAUAACGAAAAAAAAAAAAACAAAACACAGUCACUGGUUCUGUGUGGCUUCCCUGGGGAGGAGCCUCUGGGCUUCAGUCCAUAUCUGUGAAAUGGGUUAAUGAGAACACCUUUGUCCUGGACACUGAAAAGGUCAGAAUAAUGAAGCUAGCCUGCACGGUGUCAACCUCAAGCAUUGUGGCUGUCACCACUGAUGACCAAUUGAUUACAUAGUCUCAUGGGGAAGAUCAAAGGGGCUAUCUUAGUCCACCUUUCUCACGCCACGAUGGGAGAGUCUAGUUGAUCUAAGUGAGACCGAUGUUCUGCUUGGUUUUUGAAAGACUCUCAGCGAGUGCCAGGCUGUGGUGGCAUGGAAGCCCCAGACUCCAGACUCCCAACUGGUUAUUCCUGUGUCAAGAUUAGGAAGUUGUGACCCUUUAUCUAAACAAAAUUGGGUCUGAAAGCAUCUACUAUGUCGCCAUUGUUGUUCCCAGAAACCAAGAUCAAUAAUUGUGAACUGCAGCAAAAUGCCACAAGAAAGCAGAUUCCACAAUCCCAACCACAGGCCGUGGGAGGCCCUGGCUCUCCCUGCCUAGCACAGCCAGGGCUGGGAAAAGAUACCACAGGGGCUUCCCCCUCUUCCCUCAGAUAAGGGAGAGAACGAUAACAGAUCUGCAGUCAAACCAGGAUGGCAAAUCUGCAUGUACUGCUCACACACCGUUCUGAGAUGGUUUUAUGUUUUUAAGUUCAUUCAAUUACUAGGUAACGCUUUGUAGGUAGGUUGAAUUAUUAAACCCAUUUUUUUUUAUG